AGCUUUUUUGUUUGCAGAGUUGGUAGCUAUUUUAGGACGCGUCGUUUUUCUCUCCCUGGUUUAGUUAUUACUUGAAGUCAACUUAUACUGCGUAUGAAAAUGGAAAUUGGAGUCUAAAAUUUCUUGAAGUGGAGUUCAUUCAGUGUGAACACCUGCGUUUGCCAGUCUUUUCCACUUUCACAAAGUGUGAGGCCCAAGUCAACCUAAAAGAACAAGCGAAAGACGUGUGACCAGUUGCUGUUUCAGACGAUGGGGUGUGUGAUGCAGGUUCAAGUAUAGGGAACCGAUGGUGUGGGCUGGCUUAGGCAAGGCCCAAGUAAACCCCAAAAAACAAGUGAAUAACAGACGUGUGACCAGCUGACCAACACCAGUUGCUGUUUCAGACGAUGGGGUGUAUGAUGUACGUUUAACUGUACGGGACCGGUGGUGUGGGCUGGUAAUUACACUUUUAAUCCAACUUCUAGUAGUAAAGAAUGCGUGAUUCGCGUUCUGGCCCAGCAAGAUGUAAGCUGUUGUAAGGCCUAGAAGUGCGUUCAUCUGGUGUUUAGUUAGUUACGCUAGAAGUGAUUCGCGUUCUGGUCCAGCAACAUGUAAGCUGUUGUAAGGCCUAGAAGUGCGUUCAUCUGGCCUUUAGUUAGUUGCAAUGGAAGUGAUUUGCGUUCUGGCCCAGCAACAUGUAAGUUGUUGUAAGGCCUAGAAGUGCGUUCAUCCAUGCCCAUUGAAUCUUUACUUAUUAAUUAGCUGAAAAGUUUAAUGUAAAAGUAAGUAAUGCCUUGUUUUUCAUUUACUUGUCAUGCCGAGUUAUUCUUCAAGUGGAAGUUGGUGCUUCACCUGCAAGUCGAAGAUGGUGCUGGAGGUCGUGCGGGCGCUGGAGCUUGAGGUGGAGCUGGCGCUGGAGCUGGUGCGGGGGCUGGACCUAGAGCUGGUAGGGGUCCAGAUGGGCCAUACGUUGGGAAACAGCCAGGUGCCAUCUGCAUGCGGAGACUAUUACGCGGCGCGGUGAGGAUGAUGAGAGGAAUUCAACAUCUGUUUACCACUUACCGGAAUUAGACUAAGGGCAGACAGCCUUUUAUUCUCCAUUUCGAAGAAAAGUUUCACAUCAUUGUAGACAGUCAAUGUUUCGUUACAUCAGCAACCAUUACGGAAGCCAUUUUAAAUUUGUUCUACGCUUUCUAUGUUUUUAACAUUUCCUAUAACAAGGAAGCGUCUAAUACUUUUCUUUUUCUACAAAGGACCAUUGUCGGUAAACGUGACUCCAAGACUGAUAGUGCAGCUAUCAGCAUUUUAGUAAAAGAUCUUGAAAAGGAAAGAGUAGAAAAAUCAAAGUAAUGAUAUGUGUAUUUCGAUUUCUCAAUCACUCAGUCACGCUUUUAUGUGGAAAUAUUGUUUUCUAGCUUUGUUUUGUUUUCACCAUGUCUGUAUGUUAUGUGUCACCGGUUAUAUUCUUUAUUCGAACCGCGUCGCGUCACCAUAUUCCAGUUUGAAAAAACCAAGUCAAAUGAGCCAAUAAAGCAAUUUUGUUUCCUAAAAA